CUACGGGUUGCAGCAGUGGGGAAUAUUGCACAAUGGGCGCAAGCCUGAUGCAGCCAUGCCGCGUGUGUGAAGAAGGCCUUCGGGUUGUAAAGCACUUUCAGUUGGGAGGAAAGGUUAGUCGCUAAUAUCGGCUAGCUGUGACGUUACCAACAGAAGAAGCACCGGCUAACUCCGUGCCAGCAGCCGCGGUAAUACGGAGGGUGCGAGCGUUAAUCGGAAUUACUGGGCGUAAAGCGUACGCAGGCGGUUUGUUAAGCUAGAGGUGAAAGCCCCGGGCUCAACCUGGGAACUGCAUUUAGAACUGGCAAACUAGAGUGUGAUAGAGGGUGGUAGAAUUUCAGGUGUAGCGGUGAAAUGCGUAGAGAUCUGAAGGAAUACCGAUGGCGAAGGCAGCCACCUGGGUCAACACUGACGCUCAUGUACGAAAGCGUGGGGAGCAAACAGGAUUAGAUACCCCCGUAGUC
rnacentral:rRNA from 1 species